rnacentral:rRNA from 1 species
GAGUUUGAUCCUGGCUCAGAUUGAACGCUAGCGGGAUGCCUUACACAUGCAAGUCGAACGGCAGCACGGACUUCGGUCUGGUGGCGAGUGGCGAACGGGUGAGUAAUGUAUCGGAACGUGCCUAGUAGCGGGGGGAUAACUACGCGAAAGCGUAGCUAAUACCGCAUACGCCCUACGGGGAAGGCAGGGGAUCGCAAGACCUUGCACUAUUAGAGCGGCCGAUAUCGGAUUAGCUAGUUGGUGGGGUAACGGCUCACCAAGGCGACGAUCCGUAGCUGGUUUGAGGAGGACGACCAGCCACACUGGGACUGAGACACGGCCCAGACUCCUACGGGAGGCAGCAGUGGGGAAUUUUGGACAAUGGGGGAAACCCUGAUCCAGCCAUCCCGCGUGUGCGAUGAAGGCCUU